GAAUAAGCAGGUUUUUAAUAGGUGACUUAUAUAUGUUAGCAAAAAAAUCACUUUGUCUUUUAGAUCUAUUCUAGUUUUUCAGUAGCUGUAGACUUAAGUGCUAACUUUUAGCCCAUAGGAUAAGAAGAAACCAAGUCCUAAAAGUAGGCCAGCACCAGGAUUCAGGCCUCUGACUUCAAGCCAAGGGCUCAUCAUCUUGAAUUGCGCACGAAUUUUUACACAGCGCCAAAGGAAACUGCCUGUACUUACUGUUGUAGUGCUUUGCUGGAUUCAGGAUGCAGACAAGGUCCACGCGCUGUGGUUGGACAAUGACUAGAUCUUUACCUGGUCCACAGCCCUCCCCAGUCUGGCUGCAACCUCUCAUGAGGCUGAGCUCACCAUGAACCCCUGCUCUAGGCAUCUGCAUAGUGCUCUGUUUGUCCCCGUGACUGUCCACCCCUUCUUUGGCCUGUUGGCGUGCGCUUAUCCUCCAGACCUCAGUCCAAAGCUUCCGCCCUGUUUGCCACCUUCCCUCUGUUUCUGUGGCUUCCUUAUUUGCCAGUUCCUGGGCCUGGUGGACCCCACCACAACUUCUUUUUUCAGUCCCGGAGCAGACACAGCCCUGUUUGCAGGGAGCCAACAUUCUAAUUGACAGUGCGUGGUGGGAAACAGUGAACCGAGGGAAAGAGUGCCAAUGUUAGAGAGCCACAGUGCAGUGAAGAAGAGAAGGCAAGAGGAUGUGAUGCAAAAUCACAGGACCUGGCUUCCAGACCAUUCUGCUUCCAUGAGAACAUUUCAGUUGAGAACCGGAUGGCAUGAAAGUAAGCCAGAAGACACCAGGCAAGGAAAGACUGGUCUCCAGGUGCGAAUGACGUUGGAGCAUUUGGGACUGCAAAGAAUGUGGAGCGUGGUGAAUGAGAUGUCCCUUUGUAUCAGAUGCAUGCAUGAGUGGCUGGGGUCAUGUGUGUGCUUCAGUAGAGGGUACCACGGGGACACUAAGAAAUCUGGGUUUCUUUCUGAGGGCCUGGGAAGCCACCAGAAAGCAUUGAGUAGGGAGUGGUGGAUUGAUUUAUGUGUUUAUGAAAUCAUGCUGGGUGCUGGGUGGUGAAUGCUUAUUGGGGCAGAGGGCAAGGUUGGAAUUGCGGAGACCACAGCUAAGAGCCAGUUGCAGAGCCAGGCUCAUUGUGAUUCAACCUGGGAGGCAUUGGGGAUGAAAGCGAUGAGGCCAGUGAGGAUGUAUUUCUACAUAUAAUAUGGAUUAGGUAGAUGGGUUUAUACGUAAUGUAGAUUAGACUCAGAAAUCAAACUGGAGCCAAUGGCGGACACUUGAUGGAAGGUGUACUUCAAUUUCUUCCAUUCUAUAGAAAAGCAAUACAGUGGAAAGAGUAUGGGAUUUGGUGUCUCUCAGACAGGAUUCCACUUGCAAGCCGUGUGAUAUGGGGCAGCUCACCAGAUCCUGGACCUCCAUAAACCCCUCUGCAACGUGGAGAGAAUCAGAUUUCCCCACAGACUCCAUGAAGGGCUCCAGAGUGCCCUCCCCCGUUAGCCACUGAUGCAUUCAUGAGGAAGAGAAAGAGUUAAAUGCUCCUUUCGAGGAAGCGGUGGUGGCCGAGUGCUAUGGGCGCUGUGAGAUCAGAGCUGACAGCCCAGACUGAAUCGCAGCCCUCACCAGGGCCAUCGCGUGUUGCAGGGAGCUCUUCCCAAGUGCCCACUUUUACUAAAUUACAGAAAAUACCUAACAGGAUAGUUUCUUCGUGUUUUAAAAAUCAAUGACCAAUUUUUGUUUUGUUUUGUUUUUAAAAUACAGUGUUU
rnacentral:lncRNA from 1 species